UGUAUGUCUUUACGUGCAGAUUCUGAACGCAUAGUAUCACAGCACAGACUUUCUGCCGUGGACCAGUGGAGAAUAUUUGCCUUUUUAUUACACGAUGGCUGCCGAAACGCUGUGAUGUCUCUGAUGUGCAACCCAUUUUCAAGAUGUCUUUUUUAGGGAUUACACGUGGCGAGAGGCGCUCAGUCAAAGGGCGAGUGGGCUGGUGAAAUAGACGAAUUUCUUAUCGUUCAGGGGAACUGGCACCGAUGGCUUCCUCCCCAAAGUUGAGAAAUCGGAAGGAUGCCAAUUCCUGGCCGAGAAUGUCCUCAACUUUCUGGGCUGUGGUGCUAUUGACCAGCUUGCUGAUCAUCUACUGCGGUCAGCUGGCGGCGGGGACGUGCGAGAUCGUCACGCUGGACCGGGACAGCAGUCAGCCGCGGCGGACCAUCGCACGGCAGACGGCGCGCUGCGCGUGUAAACGGGGGCAGAUCGCCGGGACAACGAGAGCCAGGCCGGCCUGUGUGGACGCGCGCAUCGUGAGGACCAAGCAGUGGUGCGAGAUGAUGCCCUGUUUGGAGGACGAAGGCUGUGACCUGUUAGUGAACAAGUCUGGGUGGACCUGUACGCAGCCCGGGGGCAGAGUGAAGACAACGACGGCCCUCUGACGUGCCGGAGGUCCCAUUCAAACACACACAAACAUGGAGGAGAGACUAGCAUACCUGACAGAGAGCGAAAACCAACCACUUGUCAAGAACAGACAUGAAAAAAAACAACAAACUGCAAACCACAGCGGGCCUUAACAACACUACAAGGUGUCCUGACGGCAGCAGCGACAGAGACCCCCGUGGUGAGGUGCAGUCCGGACGCCGCGACCGCCGUGACCGCCGCUUCCCAUUGUUCGUCUCCACCGCUCGGCUCAACGCAUCCGUCCGUCUGUCUGUCUGCAUUGUAACUGGACAGCGCCCC